rnacentral:rRNA from 1 species
UACGAGGGAUGCAAGCGUUGUCCGGAAUUAUUGGGCGUAAAGAGUUUGUAGGCGGUCAAGUGUGUUUAAUGUUAAAUGUUAGAGCUUAACUUUGAAACUGCGUUAAAAACUGCUUGUCUUGAGUAUGGUAGGGGUAAAGGGAAUUCCCAGUGUAGCGGUGAAAUGCGUAGAUAUUGGGAAGAACACUAAACAGCGAAGGCACUUUACUAGGCUAAUACUGACGCUGAGAAGCGAAAGGGAAGGUAGCGAAACGG